ensembl:lncRNA
GGGCGGGCAGAUUCUGCACCACCUUGGAAGCCUUGAAGAACAGGAUGGAGAUUCCACAUAAAAUUGAUAUCACGUGAUAUUUCUAUUUCUCUGUCUGGCCUCCUUCACCGAGUAUCACCAUCUCUGGGUUCAUCCACGUUGCUGAGAGUGGCACGUCCUCGCUCUUCGUGGGUCAUCACAGAGCCCUGAGCUGGGCUCCCUGAGCUAUGAAGCAGCUUCCCACUGGCUGUCUGUUUGACACGCGGCGAGGUAUAGGCGUCACGGCCACUCUCUCAGCUCAUCGCUGCGUCUCAGCUCAUCGCUGCGUCUCAGCUCAUCGCUGCGUCUCAGCUCAUCGCUGCGUCUCAGCUCAUCGCGCCCUCUCCUUCCCCCGCUGCGUCCACAGCUCUGCGAGAAUCCCAGCGCGCCUCGCGUUUCCAUCCGUGCGGACUCACGCACGCACGUUCUGUUCUUGGCGUGACCGUGCGUCACUGCCCGCUGUGCCUGGCGCUCAGAAAGCACGAGUCUCCAAAGACAGAACGGAGCGUCACGCCCAGGCUGGAGGGAGCCCCCCACGGCGAACCCCGGGCUGAGCGCGGUCCUGAAGGUGCCUGGCAUCCCGGAGGCCGCCUUCCCAUGCGUUUCCCGAGGGAACGAUGAUGACACCCGUCUCGGGAGAGCAGCU